rnacentral:tRNA from 1 species
GGUAAGAUGGCUGAGAGUUAAGCGGCGGAUUGUAGCUCCGAGCAUAGAGGCUAGAUUCCUCUUCUUAUCA